GAUGAACGCUGGCGGCGUGCCUAAUACAUGCAAGUCGAGCGAAUGGAUUAAGAGCUUGCUCUUAUGAAGUUAGCGGCGGACGGGUGAGUAACACGUGGGUAACCUGCCCAUAAGACUGGGAUAACUCCGGGAAACCGGGGCUAAUACCGGAUAACAUUUUGAACCGCAUGGUUCGAAAUUGAAAGGCGGCUUCGGCUGUAACUUAUGGAUGGACCCGCGUCGCAUUAGCUAGUUGGGGAGGUAACGGCUCAACAAGGCAACGAUGCGUAGCCGACCUGAGAGGGUGAUCGGCCACACUGAGACUGAGACACGGCCCAGACUCCUACGGGAGGCAGCAGUAGGGAAUCUUCCGCAAUGGACGAAAGUCUGACGGAGCAACGCCGCGUGAGUGAUGAAGGCUUUCGGGUCGUAAAACUCUGUUGUUAGGGAAGAACAAGUGCUAGUUGAAUAAGCUGGCACCUUGACGGUACCUAACCAGAAAGCCACGGCUAACUACGUGCCAGCCGCCGCAGUAA
rnacentral:rRNA from 1 species